rnacentral:rRNA from 1 species
GAUGAACGCUGGCGGCGUGCUUAAUACAUGCAAGUCGAACGAAGACAGUAGCAAUAUUGUCUGAGUGGCGAACGGGUGAGUAACGCGUUUGUGACCUGCCCCGCAGAGAGGGAUAACAGUCCGAAAGGAUUGCUAAUACCCCAAGUGGUUAUUUGGACUAGAUGCCUUACAACUAAACGGAUUUAUUCGCUUAGGGAGGGACCUGCGUCCCAUCAGCUAGUUGGUAGGGUAACGGCCUACCAAAGCUAUUACGGGUAGGGGACCUGAGAGGGUGGCCCCCCACAAUGGAACUGAAACACGGUCCAUACACCUACGGGUGGCAGCAGUAGGGAAUAUUGGUUAAUCUGCGAAAGCGGGAACCAGCAACGCCGCGUGCACGAUGAAGGCCUUCGGGUUGUAAAGUGCUUUUUGAAAGGAUGAGGAAGGACAGUACUUUCAGAAUAAGCUUCGGCUAACUACGUGCCAGCAGCCGCCGUAAGAC